GAUGAACGCUGGCGGCGUGCCUAAUACAUGCAAGUCGAGCGAACAGACGAGGAGCUUGCUCCGCUGACGUUAGCGGCGGACGGGUGAGUAACACGUGGAUAACCUACCUAUAAGACUGGGAUAACUUCGGGAAACCGGAGCUAAUACCGGAGAAUAUAUUGAACCGCAUGGUUCAAUAGUGAAAGACGGUUGUGCUGGCACUUAUAGAGGGAUCCGCGCCGCAUUAGCUAGUUGGUAAGGUAACGGCUUACCAAGGCAACGAUGCGUAGCCGACCUGAGAGAGUGAUCGCCCACACUGGAACUUGGACACGGUCCAGACUCCUACGGGACGCAGCAGUCGGCAAUCUUCCGCAAUGGGCGAAAGCCUGACGGAGCAACGCCGCGUGAGUGAUGAAGGUCUUCGGAUCGUGAAACUCUGUUAUUAGGGAAGAACAACUUUGUAAGUAGCUGUGCCCGUCUUGACGGUACCUAAUCAGAAAGCCCCGGCUAACUACGUG
rnacentral:rRNA from 1 species